AACGAACGCUGGCGGCAGGCUUAACACAUGCAAGUCGAGCGCAUCCUUCGGGGUGAGCGGCGGACGGGUGAGUAACGCGUGGGAACGUGCCCUCUUCUACGGAAUAGCCUCGGGAAACUGAGAGUAAUGCCGUAUACGCCCGCAAGGGGAAAGAUUUAUCGGAGGAGGAUCGGCCCGCGUUGGAUUAGGUAGUUGGUGGGGUAACGGCCUACCAAGCCGACGAUCCAUAGCUGGUUUGAGAGGAUGAUCAGCCACACUGGGACUGAGACACGGCCCAGACCCCUACGGGAGGCAGGAGUGGGGAAUCCUGGACAAUGGGGGCAACCCUGAUCCAGCCAUGCCGCGUGAUCGAUGAAGGCCUUAGGGUUGUAAAGAUCUUUCAGCUGGGAAGAUAAUGACGGUACCAGCAGAAGAAGCCCCGGCUAACUCCGUG
rnacentral:rRNA from 1 species